UGGGGAAUAUUGGGCAAUGGGCGAAAGCCUGACCCAGCAACGCCGCGUGAAGGAAGAAGGCCCUCGGGUUGUAAACUUCUUUUGUCAGGGACGAAGCAAGUGACGGUACCUGACGAAUAAGCCACGGCUAACUACGUGCCAGCAGCCGCGGUAAUACGUAGGUGGCAAGCGUUAUCCGGAUUUACUGGGUGUAAAGGGUGCGUAGGCGGCAGAGCAAGUCAGAUGUGAAAUCCGUGGGCUUAACCCACGAACUGCAUUUGAAACUGUUUUGCUUGAGUGAAGUAGAGGCAGGCGGAAUUCCCUGUGUAGCGGUGAAAUGCGUAGAGAUAGGGAGGAACACCAGUGGCGAAGGCGGCCUGCUGGGCUUUAACUGACGCUGAGGCACGAAAGCGUGGGUAGCAAACAGGAUUAGAUACCCUGGUAGU
rnacentral:rRNA from 1 species